UACAGAGGGUGCAAGCGUUGUUCGGAAUCAUUGGGCGUAAAGAGCGUGUAGGCGGCCAGGUAGGUCGGUUGUGAAAACUGGAGGCUCAACCUUCAGAGGUCGACCGAAACCAUCUGGCUAGAGUCCGGGAGAGGAGAGUGGAAUUCCUGGUGUAGCGGUGAAAUGCGCAGAUAUCAGGAAGAACACCCGUGGCGAAGGCGGCGCUCUGGACCGAGACUGACGCUGAGGCGCGAAAGCGUGGGGAGCAAACAGG
rnacentral:rRNA from 1 species